rnacentral:ncRNA from 2 species
CGAAAGCACUAGGGGUGCUAUUUUGGCUGAGAUAAAACGCGGCAACACGCGUUUUGAUCCCUUAUAACCCGAUCUGGAUAAUACCAGCGUGGGGAAGUGCAGGAUGACCGAU